UGGGGAAUAUUGCACAAUGGGCGCAAGCCUGAUGCAGCCAUGCCGCGUGUGUGAAGAAGGCCUUCGGGUUGUAAAGCACUUUCAGCGGGGAGGAAGGCGUUAAGGUUAAUAACCUUGGCGAUUGACGUUACCCGCAGAAGAAGCACCGGCUAACUCCGUGCCAGCAGCCGCGGUAAUACGGAGGGUGCAAGCGUUAAUCGGAAUUACUGGGCGUAAAGCGCACGCAGGCGGUCUGUCAAGUCGGAUGUGAAAUCCCCGGGCUCAACCUGGGAACUGCAUCUGAUACUGGCAAGCUUGAGUCUCGUAGAGGGGGGUAGAAUUCCAGGUGUAGCGGUGAAAUGCGUAGAGAUCUGGAGGAAUACCGGUGGCGAAGGCGGCCCCCUGGACGAAGACUGAUGCUCAGGUGCGAAAGCGUGGGGAGCAAACAGG
rnacentral:rRNA from 1 species